rnacentral:rRNA from 1 species
CCUACGGGUGGCUGCAGUGAGGAAUUUUGGUCAAUGGCCGCAGGGCUGAACCAGCGAAGUCGCGUGAGGGAUGACGGUCCUAUGGAUGGUAAACCUCUUUUGUCAGGGAGCAAAGGGCGCCACGUGUGGCGUUUUGCGAGUACCUGAAGAAAAAGCAUCGGCUAACUCCGGGCCAGCAGCCGCGGUAAUACGGAGGAUGCGAGGGUUAUCCGGAUGUAUUGGGUUUAAAGGGUGCGCAGGCGGAAUGUCAAGUCAGAGGUAAAAUUUCGGGGCUCAAACCUGUCGGUCCGUUGAAACUGGCGUUCUUGAGUGGGCGAGAAGUCUGCGGAAUGCGUGGUGUAGCGGUGAAAUGCAUAGAUAUCACGAGGAACCCCGAUUGCGAAGGCAGCCGGCCGGGGUGCGACUGACGCUGAGGCUCGAAGGUGCGGGUAGCAAACAGGAUUAGAUACCCGUGUAGUC